CCUACAUCCUCUGGCCGGAUCAGUUUCGCUGCUCACCAAUGCAGCGACCACAUAUACCUGUACAGUGACUUCCACACCUGUGAUUCUGUGUCCAUCAGCCAUCCUCUCGUCCCUACAGUUGCCUCCUCCACCUGUCGUCACCAUCUUAGUGUGAGGAUAAGUGAAAAUUUUUCCCCUCUAAUCUUAAUUCUGAAAGUUUUUAUAUCUUAUUCCCGCCAGCAAUGGUUUGUAGAAGAGAUAAGAGUCUAGUUCGUAAUCUCCCCGCACAGGAAUACAGAGAUAUUUGGACCUGAAGGAGUGUGUCGUUGGGUAAGGACUCGGGAGAUGGUAAGUGUGUGGAGAUGUGUGGGCGUGGUGUGGGUGGUGUGGGUUGCUACGUGUCGGGGGUUCUUGUGGGGCGAGAGUGAGGAGGUGGAUCUGUGUGCUGAGGUGUGUCAUUGUCCAGAACAUCUCACCCACAAACACAAGAUUCCCAUCAACUGUCGGGACGCUAACAUCACCCUCCUCCCAGAUGGCGUGAAGGUGCCUAAGCAGUAAUUUCAGCUGUGGAC